rnacentral:lncRNA from 1 species
CAAAACCUGAUGUUUAACUUUUGAAUCAUAAACUGAGAGUCAAUACAAUAUAAGAUUGCAAAUCAUGAAAAUGUCAACUGAGAAAAAGAAAGACCUAAUAAAAAAUCGGAAAUUAGAAGGGAUGACCCUUUGAUUGGUAAUGAAGUGUUGUGAAAUGGAGUUCAAACAAAUGGAAAAAUUAGAUUUGGCAA